UGAAGUUGAAGAGAGCUUUCUUCAGUCCACUCAUGGGUGGUGGUAGGAUUUAAUUAGCUGCCGACUCAUUCAUCCAAAUACUGAGUCAAGAAAUCACGGAGGAUAUAUACCCAGUAAAUGAUUGAAUGAUGCGGGAGACAAAUUGAAUCUUAAGCUUCCUGUGCUUGGACUGAAGGGAGCUCCCUUCACUUUUAUC
rfam:Cephalotus follicularis DNA, scaffold: scaffold310, isolate: St1.